rnacentral:rRNA from 1 species
UGGGGAAUAUUGGACAAUGGGCGCAAGCCUGAUCCAGCCAUGCCGCGUGAGUGACGAAGGUCUUCGGAUUGUAAAACUCUUUUGGCGGGGACGAUAAUGACGGUACCCGCAGAAUAAGCCCCGGCUAACUUCGUGCCAGCAGCCGCGGUAAUACGAAGGGGGCUAGCGUUGUUCGGAAUCACUGGGCGUAAAGCGCACGUAGGCGGAUGUGCCAGUCAGGGGUGAAAUCCCGGAGCUCAACUCCGGAACUGCCUCUGAUACAGCACGUCUUGAGUUCGAGAGAGGUGGGUGGAAUUCCUAGUGUAGAGGUGAAAUUCGUAGAUAUUAGGAAGAACACCGGUGGCGAAGGCGGCCCACUGGCUCAUUACUGACGCUGAGGCGCGAAAGCGUGGGGAGCAAACAGGAUUAGAUACCCCCGUAGUCCCUGAGCGGGCUGGCAAGGCGCAU